AUGACCACAUCACAUUGAAACACUGGUUCACAUAUGAUCACUGAAGUUAAGCAAUGUCGGACCUGAUGAGUACCUAGAUGGGUGACUGCUUGGAAAUACUAGGUGCUGUAA